rnacentral:rRNA from 1 species
CCUACGGGAGGCAGCAGUAGGGAAUUUUCCACAAUGGACGAAAGUCUGAUGGAGCAAGGCCGCGUGAACGAUGAAGGUCUUCGGAUUGUAAAGUUCUGUUGUCAGGGACGAACACGUACCGUUCGAACAGGGCGGUACCUUGACGGUACCUGACGAGAAAGCCACGGCUAACUACGUGCCAGCAGCCGCGGUAAUACGUAGGUGGCAAGCGUUGUCCGGAUUUAUUGGGCGUAAAGCGCGCGCAGGCGGCUAUGUAAGUCUGGUGUUAAAGCCCGGAGCUCAACUCCGGUUCGCAUCGGAAACUGUGUAGCUUGAGUGCAGAAGAGGAAAGCGGUAUUCCACGUGUAGCGGUGAAAUGCGUAGAGAUGUGGAGGAACACCAGUGGCGAAGGCGGCUCGCUGGGCCUCAUCUGACGCUGAAGCGCGAAAGCGUGGGGAGCAAACAGGAUUAGAUACCCUGGUAGUCCACGCCGUAAACGAUGGGUACUAGGUGUUGGGAGGAUUGACCCUUUCAGUGCCGACGCUAACGCAUUAAGUACCCCGCCUGGGGAGUACGGCCGCAAGAGUGAAACUCAAAUGAAUUGACGGA